rnacentral:rRNA from 1 species
AACGAACGCUGGCGGCAUGCCUAACACAUGCAAGUCGAACGAUUGCCUUCGGGUGAUAGUGGCGCACGGGUGCGUAACGCGUGGGAAUCUGCCCUUGGGUUCGGAAUAACAGCUGGAAACGGCUGCUAAUACCGGAUGAUAUCGCGAGAUCAAAGAUUUAUCGCCUGAGGAUGAGCCCGCGUUGGAUUAGGUAGUUGGUGGGGUAAAGGCCUACCAAGCCGACGAUCCAUAGCUGGUCUGAGAGGAUGAUCAGCCACACUGGGACUGAGACACGGCCCAGACUCCUACGGGAGGCAGCAGUGGGGAAUAUUGGACAAUGGGCGCAAGCCUGAUCCAGCAAUGCCGCGUGAGUGAUGAAGGCCCGAGGGUUGUAAAGCUCUUUUACCCGGGAAGAUAAUGACUGUACCGGGAGAAUAAGCCCCGGCUAACUCCGUGCCAGCCGCCGCGGUAA